rnacentral:rRNA from 1 species
GGUCAAGCGAAUAAGCGCACACGGUGGAUGCCUUGGCGGUCAGAGGCGAUGAAGGACGUGGCAGCCUGCGAAAAGUAUCGGGGAGCUGGCAACAAGCUUUGAUCCGGUAAUGUCCGAAUGGGGAAACCCACCCGCUUGCGGGUAUCCUGCAGUGAAUACAUAGCUGCUGGAAGCGAACCUGGUGAACUGAAAUAUCUAAGUAACCAGAGGAAAAGAAAUCAACCGAGAUUCCGUAAGUAGCGACGAGCGAACGCGGACUAGCCCUUAAGCUGAUUUGGUUCUAGGAAAACACUCUGGAAAGAGUGGCCAUAGAAGGUGAUAGCCCUGUAUCUGAAAGGGCCAUUUCAGUGAAGACGAGUAGGGCGGGCACGUGAAACCCUGUCUGAACAUGGGGGGACCAUCCUUCAAGGCUAAAUACUACUGCCGACCGAUAGUGAACCAGUACCGUGAGGGAAAGGCGAAAAGAACCCCGGAGAGGGGAGUGAAAUAGAACCUGAACCGUGUGCGUACAAGCAGUAGGAGCUCCGCAAGGAGUGACUGCGUACCUUUUGUAUAAUGGGUCAGCGACUUACUGUUCGUGGCAAGCUUAACCGUAUAGGGGAGGCGAAGGGGAAACCGAGUCUGAUAAGGGCGCAUAGUCGCGGGCAGUAGACCCGAAACCGGGUGAUCUAGUCAUGCCCAGGGUGAAGGUGCGGUAACACGCACUGGAGGCCCGAACCCACUCCCGUUGCAAAGGUAGGGGAUGAGGUGUGAUUAGGAGUGAAAAGCUAAUCGAACCCGGAGAUAGCUGGUUCUCCUCGAAAGCUAUUUAGGUAGCGCCUCAUAUGUAUCCUCUCGGGGGUAGAGCACUGUUAUGGCUAGGGGGUCAUCGCGACUUACCAAACCAUUGCAAACUCCGAAUACCGAGACGGACUGUAUGGGAGACACACGGCGGGUGCUAACGUCCGUCGUGAAAAGGGAAACAACCCAGACCCACAGCUAAGGUCCCAAAUUUUGUGCUAAGUGGAAAACCAUGUGGAAAGGCACAGACAGCCAGGAGGUUGGCUUAGAAGCAGCCACCCUUUAAAGAAAGCGUAAUAGCUCACUGGUCGAGUCGGUCUGCGGGGAAGAUUUAACGGGCUAAGCACAGAACCGAAGCUUGGGGUGCAUACUUUGUAUGCGCGGUAGAGGAGCGUUCCGUAAGCCGUUGAAGGUGGAUUGAGAAGUCUGCUGGAGGUAUCGGAAGUGCGAAUGCUGACAUGAGUAACGAUAAUGCGGGUGAAGAACCCGCACGCCGAAAGCCCAAGGUUUCCUUGCGCAACGUUAAUCGGCGCAGGGUGAGUCGGCCCCUAAGGCGAGGACGAAAGUCGUAGUCGAUGGGAAGCAGGUCA